UACGUAGGGUGCAAGCGUUGUCCGGAAUUAUUGGGCGUAAAGAGCUCGUAGGCGGUCUGUCGCGUCGGCUGUGAAACCCGGGGCUCAACUCCGGGCCUGCAGUCGAUACGGGCAGACUAGAGUGCGGUAGGGGAGACUGGAAUUCCUGGUGUAGCGGUGAAAUGCGCAGAUAUCAGGAGGAACACCGGUGGCGAAGGCGGGUCUCUGGGCCGUAACUGACGCUGAGGAGCGAAAGCGUGGGGAGCGAACAGG
rnacentral:rRNA from 1 species